AUCCGGUUGACGAGUCCAAUAUAGGACGAAACGCGUGUCCUUAAU
rnacentral:hammerhead_ribozyme from 1 species